GACGAACGCUGGCGGCGUGCCUAAUACAUGCAAGUAGAACGAGUUGCGAACGGGUGAGUAACGCGUGGUAACCUGCCUCAUAGCAGGGGAUAACUAUUUGAAACGAUAGCUAAUAACGCAUAGCUCCUUAUAGACCUGAGUUGUAUUAGCUAGGUGGUGAGGUAAAGGCUCACCAAGGCGACGAUACAUAGCCGACCUGAGAGGGUGACCAGCCACACUGGAACUGAGACACGGUCCAGACUCCUACGGGAGGCAGCAGUGGGGAAUAUUGCACAAUGGGCGCAAGCCUGAUGCAGCCAUGCCGCGUGUAUGAAGAAGGCCUUCGGGUUGUAAAGUACUUUCAGCGAGGAGGCGUUACUCGCAGAAGAAGCACCGGCUAACUCCGUGCCAGCAGCCGCGGUAAUAC
rnacentral:rRNA from 1 species